CGGGACACGUGGUAUCCUGUCUGAAUAUGGGGGGACCAUCCUCCAAGGCUAAAUACUCCUGACUGACCGAUAGUGAACCAGUACCGUGAGGGAAAGGCGAAAAGAACCCCGGCGAGGGGAGUGAAAAAGAACCUGAAACCGUGUACGUACAAGCAGUGGGAGCACGCUUAGGCGUGUGACUGCGUACCUUUUGUAUAAUGGGUCAGCGACUUAUAUUCUGUAGCAAGGUUAACCGAAUAGGGGAGCCGAAGGGAAACCGAGUCUUAACUGGGCGUUAAGUUGCAGGGUAUAGACCCGAAACCCGGUGAUCUAGCCAUGGGCAGGUUGAAGGUUGGGUAACACUAACUGGAGGACCGAACCGACUAAUGUUGAAAAAUUAGCGGAUGACUUGUGGCUGGGGGUGAAAGGCCAAUCAAACCGGGAGAUAGCUGGUUCUCCCCGAAAGCUAUUUAGGUAGCGCCUCGUGAAUUCAUCUCCGGGGGUAGAGCACUGUUUCGGCAAGGGGGUCAUCCCGACUUACCAACCCGAUGCAAACUGCGAAUACCGGAGAAUGUUAUCACGGGAGACACACGGCGGGUGCUAACGUCCGUCGUGAAGAGGGAAACAACCCAGACCGCCAGCUAAGGUCCCAAAGUCAUGGUUAAGUGGGAAACGAUGUGGGAAGGCCCAGACAGCCAGGAUGUUGGCUUAGAAGCAGCCAUCAUUUAAAGAAAGCGUAAUAGCUCACUGGUCGAGUCGGCCUGCGCGGAAGAUGUAACGGGGCUAAACCAUGCACCGAAGCUGCGGCAGCGACGCUGAUGCGUUGUUGGGUAGGGGAGCGUUCUGUAAGCCUGCGAAGGUGUGCUGUGAGGCAUGCUGGAGGUAUCAGAAGUGCGAAUGCUGACAUAAGUAACGAUAAAGCGGGUGAAAAGCCCGCUCGCCGGAAGACCAAGGGUUCCUGUCCAACGUUAAUCGGGGCAGG
rnacentral:rRNA from 1 species